rnacentral:piRNA from 1 species
UUCACUCGGUACUUCUAGUGGAUAUAUGGCA